AACGAACGCUGGCGGCAUGCCUAACACAUGCAAGUCGAACGAGACCUUCGGGUCUAGUGGCGCACGGGUGCGUAACGCGUGGGAACCUGCCCUUAGGUUCGGAAUAACUCCCCGAAAGGGGUGCUAAUACCGGAUAAUGUCUUCGGACCAAAGAUUUAUCGCCUUUGGAUGGGCCCGCGUUGGCUUAGCUAGUUGGUAGGGUAAAAGCCUACCAAGGCGACGAUCCAUAGCUGGUCUGAGAGGAUGAUCAGCCACACUGGGACUGAGACACGGCCCAGACUCCUACGGGAGGCAGCAGUGGGGAAUAUUGGACAAUGGGCGAAAGCCUGAUCCAGCAAUGCCGCGUGAGUGAUGAAGGCCUUAGGGUUGUAAAGCUCUUUUAUCCGGGAUGAUAAUGACAGUACCGGGAGAAUAAGCUCCGGCUAACUCCGUG
rnacentral:rRNA from 1 species